rnacentral:rRNA from 1 species
GCAGCACGGGAGCAAUCCUGGUGGCGAGUGGCGAACGGGUGAGUAAUAUAUCGGAACGUGCCCAGUCGUGGGGGAUAACGCAGCGAAAGCUGUGCUAAUACCGCAUACGAUCUCAGGAUGAAAGCGGGGGACUCGCAAGAGCCUCGCGCGAUUGGAGCGGCCGAUAUCAGAUUAGCUAGUUGGUGGGGUAAAAGCCUACCAAGGCGACGAUCUGUAGCUGGUCUGAGAGGACGACCAGCCACACUGGAACUGAGACACGGUCCAGACUCCUACGGGAGGCAGCAGUGGGGAAUUUUGGACAAUGGGCGAAAGCCUGAUCCAGCAAUGCCGCGUGCAGGAUGAAGGCCUUCGGGUUGUAAACUGCUUUUGUACGGAACGAAACGGUUCGCCUUAAUACGGUGGGCUAAUGACGGUACCGUAAGAAUAAGCACCGGCUAACUACGUGCCAGCAGCCGCGGUAAUACGUAGGGUGCGAGCGUUAAUCGGAAUUACUGGGCGUAAAGCGUGCGCAGGCGGUUAUAUAAGACAGAUGUGAAAUCCCCGGGCUCAACCUGGGACCUGCAUUUGUGACUGUAUAGCUAGAGUACGGUAGAGGGGGAUGGAAUUCCGCGUGUAGCAGUGAAAUGCGUAGAUAUGCGGAGGAACACCGAUGGCGAAGGCAAUCCCCUGGACCUGUACUGACGCUCAUGCACGAAAGCGUGGGGAGCAAACAGGAUUAGAUACCCUGGUAGAAUCACUAGUGAAUUC